rnacentral:rRNA from 1 species
GGUUAAGUUAGAAAGGGCGCACGGUGGAUGCCUUGGCACUAGGAGCCGAUGAAGGACGGGACUAACACCGAUAUGCUUCGGGGAGCUGUAAGUAAGCUUUGAUCCGGAGAUUUCCGA